UCCCUGGUAGCUUAGCAGUAAAGAAUUUGCCUGCGAUGCAGGAGGCCCAAGUUUGAUCCCUGGGUGGGGAA
rnacentral:tRNA from 1 species